GAAGGAUUGUAGCAGUGCAACUUUGCCACCUGUUCCAGUCCCGAUAUCACUUUGACUAAUUGCACCUAUACAUAUUCCCUGUAAAGUAUGAGAGAAACAAAGGAAUGCGGAUGCUGGAAUCUGGAUGAGAAACAUGACGAUGCUGGAGGA